UACCAGCACCCCGAGUGGUCUGGACGUUUAUUGGGCCUAAAGCAUCCGUAGCCGGUUCUACAAGUCUUCCGUUAAAUCCACCUGCUCAACAGAUGGGCUGCGGAAGAUACUAUGGAGCUAGGAGGCGGGAGAGGCAAGCGGUACUCGAUGGGUAGGGGUAAAAUCCGUUGAUCCAUUGAAGACCACCAGUGGCGAAGGCGGCUUGCCAGAACGCGCUCGACGGUGAGGGAUGAAAGCUAGGGGAGCAAACAGG
rnacentral:rRNA from 1 species